GCCUCGGUGGCGUAGUGGUCAAGACGCUCGCCUGGUAAUCAGGAGGGCGCUGGGUUCGAUCCCAGCCGAGGUA
rnacentral:tRNA from 1 species